UAUGGAUUAUAGGUUUCAGUAUAUAAAACAUUUACCAAAAACACAAUAUUUUCGUAGAGGUUAACACAUGAAUUUUGAGAAAAUUUCAAAAAAUAUGACAAUAUUGUUUUAAUGCAUACUUGCAUCUUUCACUAACAUAUGAUGAUGUUCAAAGAGGUUUGGAGCCUUUGUUAUCACCGUUUUUCAAGAAAAUAUUGAUUUUAUAGUGGUUAUUCCAUCGAUUUAAGAAGUAUUAUGAAGUUUUACUAAAUUAAUUGAUAAACAAAUUAUAAUGAUUCUCAUAUACCAUGAAAAAAGCUUAAAAUACAUUACUACAAAUGUAGAAUGUGGUUGGAAAUUUUAAAACAACACUAAAGAUUAAAGGCUUCAGUAUAUAAAAAAUUUACCAAAAACUCAAUAUUUUCGUAGAGGACACAUGGAUUUUGAGAAAAUUUUAAAAAAUAUGAAAAUAUUGUUUUAAUGCAUAGUUGCAUCUUUCACUAACAUAUGAUGGUGUUCAAAGAGGUAUGGAGCCUUUGUUCUCUCUAUUUUUCAAGAGAAUAGCGAUUUUAAAAUGGUUAGUCCACUAAUUUUGCGAGUUUAUGAAGUUUUAUUAAAUUAAUUAAUAAAACCAGUUGAACGAUGUUCAUUCGUCAUGAAAAAGAGUUUAGCACACAUUAAUACAAAUGUAUAAUAUGGUUAGAAAUUUUAAAAUAGCACUAAAUAUUAAAGGCUUCAGUAUAUAACGUAUUUACCAAAAACUCAAUAUUUUCUAAGGGGUUAACACAUAGAUUUUAAAAAAUUUAAAAAAUACGACAAUAUUGUUUUAAUGCAUUGUUGUAUCCUACACUAAUAUAUGAUCAUGUUCAAAGAAGUUUGGAGCCUUUGUUGUCUCCGUUUUUCAAGAAAAUAGUGAUCUUACAGUGAUUAUUCAAUCGAUUUAGGGAAUAUUAUAAAGUUUUACUAAAUUUAUUGAUAAACAAAUUAUAACGAUUACCAUUUACCAUGAAAAAGAGCUUAAAAUACAUUAUUACAAAUGUAUAAUGUGGUUAGAAUUUUUAAAACAACACUAAAGAU